rnacentral:rRNA from 1 species
AUGAACGCUAGCUACAGGCUUAACACAUGCAAGUCGAGGGGCAGCGGGAUUGAAGCUUGCUUCAAUUGCCGGCGACCGGCGCACGGGUGAGUAACGCGUAUCCAACCUUCCGCUUACUCGGGGAUAGCCUUUCGAAAGAAAGAUUAAUACCCGAUGGUAUCUUAAGCACGCAUGAGAUUAAGAUUAAAGAUUUAUCGGUAAGCGAUGGGGAUGCGUUCCAUUAGGCAGUUGGCGGGGUAACGGCCCACCAAACCUACGAUGGAUAGGGGUUCUGAGAGGAAGGUCCCCCACAUUGGAACUGAGACACGGUCCAAACUCCUACGGGAGGCAGCAGUGAGGAAUAUUGGUCAAUGGGCGAGAGCCUGAACCAGCCAAGUAGCGUGAAGGAUGACGGCCCUACGGGUUGUAAACUUCUUUUGUGCGGGAAUAAAGGAACCUACGUGUAGGUUUUUGCAUGUACCGUAACGAAUAAGCAUCGGCUAACUCCGUGCCAGCAGCCGCGGUAAUACGGAGGAUGCGAGCGUUAUCCGGAUUUAUUGGGUUUAAAGGGAGCGUAGACGGGUUUUUAAGUCAGCUGUGAAAGUUUGGGGCUCAACCUUAAAAUUGCAGUUGAAACUGGAGACCUUGAGUACGGUUGAGGCAGGCGGAAUUCGUGGUGUAGCGGUGAAAUGCUUAGAUAUCACGAAGAACCCCGAUUGCGAAGGCAGCCUGCUAAGCCGCCACUGACGUUGAGGCUCGAAAGUGCGGGUAUCAAACAGGAUUAGAUACCCUGGUAGUCCGCACGGUAAACGAUGGAUACUCGCUGUUGGCGAUAGACAGUCAGCGGCCAAGCGAAAGCGUUAAGUAUCCCACCUGGGGAGUACGCCGGCAACGGUGAAACUCAAAGGAAUUGACGGGGACCCGCACAAGCGGUGGAGCAUGUGGUUUAAUUCGAAGCAACGCGAAGAACCUUACCAAGUCUUGACAUCCUGCUGACCGUUCCUUAAUCGGAACUUUCCUUCGGGACAGCAGAGACAGGUGGUGCAUGGUUGUCGUCAGCUCGUGCCGUGAGGUGUCGGCUUAAGUGCCAUAACGAGCGCAACCCUUGCUGCCAGUUACUAACAGGUCAUGCUGAGGACUCUGGCAGGACUGCCAUCGUAAGAUGCGAGGAAGGUGGGGAUGACGUCAAAUCAGCACGGCCCUUACGUCCGGGGCUACACACGUGUUACAAUGGGGAGUACAGAGGGCAGCUACCGGGCGACCGGAUGCGAAUCCCGAAAGCUCCUCUCAGUUCGGACUGGAGUCUGCAACCCGACUCCACGAAGCUGGAUUCGCUAGUAAUCGCGCAUCAGCCACGGCGCGGUGAAUACGUUCCCGGGCCUUGUACACACCGCCCGUCAAGCCAUGAAAGCCGGGGGUACCUGAAGUACGUAACCGCGAGGAUCGUCCUAGGGUAAAACCGGUAAUUGGGGCU